rnacentral:rRNA from 1 species
GACGACCGCUGCCGGCGUGCUUAACACAUGCAAGUCGAACGCCGUGGCGAACGGGUGAGUAUCACGUGAGUAACCUGCCCCUGACUUCGGGAUAAGCCUGGGAAACUGGGUCUAAUCCCCGAUAGUUGGGGGGGGGCUGGCGGCCUAUCAGUUUGGUGGGGGGGUAAUGGCCUUCCAAGACGACGACGGGUAGCCGGCCUUGGAGGGCGACCGGCGACACUGAGACUGAGACUCGGGCCAGAAGCGUCCGGGCGGCAGCAGUGGGGAAUAUUGCACAAUGAGGGAAACCCUGAUGCAGCGACGCCGCGUGGGGGAUGACGGCCUUCGGGUUGUAAACAUCUUUAAGUAGGGAAGCGGUAUCUGCAGAAGACGUACCGGCGAACUACGUGACAGCAGCCGCGGUAAUUC